ensembl:snRNA U4 U4 spliceosomal RNA
AGCUUUGAGCAGUGGCAGUACGGUAGCCAGUGAGAUUUAGCCAAAAUCUGAUUACUGCUAAUUGAAAACUUUCCCCACUGCCCUGCUAUGAUGACAGUCAGCACCAACAAUUUUUAACAGUCUCUAUGGAGA